AUUGAACGCUGGCGGCAUGCUUUACACAUGCAAGUCGAACGGUAACAGGCCGUAAGGUGCUGACGAGUGGCGAACGGGUGAGUAAUGCAUCGGAACGUGCCCAGUCGUGGGGGAUAACGCAGCGAAAGCUGCGCUAAUACCGCAUACGAUCUAUGGAUGAAAGCGGGGGACCGUAAGGCCUCGCGCGAUUGGAGCGGCCG
rnacentral:rRNA from 1 species